rnacentral:rRNA from 1 species
UACGUAGGGUGCAAGCGUUGUCCGGAGUUAUUGGGCGUAAAGAGCUCGUAGGCGGUCUGUUGCGUCGGCUGUGAAAACCCGGGGCUCAACUCCGGGCCUGCAGCCGAUACGGGCAGACUAGAGUGCUGUAGGGGAGACUGGAAUUCCUGGUGUAGCGGUGGAAUGCGCAGAUAUCAGGAGGAACACCGAUGGCGAAGGCAGAUCUCUGGGCCGUAACUGACGCUGAGGAGCGAAAGCAUGGGGAGCGAACAGG